rnacentral:ribozyme from 1 species
CGGCCCAUAGUAAAAACAAAAAAAUGAAGACCCCCUUUUCCCCUUCCA